GAUGAAGAACGUAGUGAAAUGCGAUAAGUAGUGUGAAUUGCAGAAUUCAGUGAAUCAUCGAAUCUUUGAACGCACAUUGCGCCCCUUGGUAUUCCAUGGGGCAUGCCUGUUCGAGCGUCAUUUGUACCUUCAAGCCUUGCUUGGUGUUGGGUGUUUGUCUCGCCUCUGCGCGCAGACUCGCCUCAAAACAAUUGGCAGCCGGCGUAUUGAUUUCGGAGCGCAGUACAUCUCGCGCUUUGCACUCAGAACGACGACGUCCAAAAGUACAUUUUUACACUCUUGACCUCGGAUCAGGUAGGGAUACCCGCUGAACUUAAGCAUAUCAAUAAGCGGAGGA
rnacentral:misc_RNA from 1 species